ACGCGCAGCCUGGGCCGCGGAUACAUCACCUGCUGAGCAAACCGCCAGCCCCUAAGUCGGGAUUCCGACUCCAAAACACGUUCCACGCCACACCGCAUCGUUUACCGCUAACGAAGGUCUGGGUCACGUGUGUGGCUUCCCCGGGAGACCAGUGGAUGGCGGCUUCUACUUAGACUUGAAGGUUGCGCGGCCGGGCGACACUGUGGAGUACUUCUGCUGGCCCGGAUUCUCGCUGUUCGGAAAGAAGGAGCGCGUCUGCCUGACCGAGGGCUUUUGGUCCGACCACAUGCCCGUCUGCAUGGAGAACCUGGCGGAGGGACAGCACACGGCUUCGUCCAUAGUAAAGCAGGGGCAGGUAUCCAGCCUGGCGGUGGAUGGCGACAGGACCACAUGCACCAUUCUGGAUCGCGCCACCACACAGCGCUACUGGCAGGUCGAUCUGCCGCCAGGUGUGCGCAUC